GAUGAACGCUGGCGGCGUGCUUAACACAUGCAAGUCGAACGGUGAAGGCGGAGCUUGCUCUGCUGGAUCAGUGGCGAACGGGUGAGUAACACGUGAGCAAUCUGCCCCUGACUCUGGGAUAAGCGCUGGAAACGGCGUCUAAUACUGGAUACGAGCUGCGCAGGCAUCUUCAGCAGCUGGAAAGAACUUCGGUCAGGGAUGAGCUCGCGGCCUAUCAGCUUGUUGGUGAGGUAACGGUUCACCAAGGCGUCGACGGGUAGCCGGCCUGAGAGGGUGACCGGCCACACUGGGACUGAGACACGGCCCAGACUCCUACGGGAGGCAGCAGUGGGGAAUAUUGCACAAUGGGCGAAAGCCUGAUGCAGCAACGCCGCGUGAGGGACGACGGCCUUCGGGUUGUAAACCUCUUUUAGCAGGGAAGAAGCGAAAGUGACGGUACCUGCAGAAAAAGCGCCGGCUAACUACGUG
rnacentral:rRNA from 1 species